CCUACGGGGGGCUGCAGUCGAGGAUCUUCGGCAAUGGGCGCAAGCCUGACCGAGCGACGCCGCGUGCGGGAUGAAGGCCUUCGGGUUGUAAACCGCUGUCGAGGGGGAGGAAAGCCCGCAAGGGUCUGACCUAUCCCUGGAGGAAGCACGGGCUAAGUUCGUGCCAGCAGCCGCGGUAAGACGAACCGUGCGAACGUUGUUCGGAAUCACUGGGCUUAAAGGGCGCGUAGGCGGGGCUGCUGGUCCGGGGUGAAAGCCCCCCGCUCAACGGGGGAAGGGCCUUGGAUACCGCAGCUCUCGAGGGAGGUAGGGGCAGGUGGAACUUCCGGUGGAGCGGUGAAAUGCGUUGAGAUCGGAAGGAACGCCGGUGGCGAAAGCGGCCUGCUGGACCUCUACUGACGCUGAGGCGCGAAAGCUAGGGGAGCAAACGGGAUUAGA
rnacentral:rRNA from 1 species